AUCUCGGAACUUCACAAGCCUCGCUGUGCUCUGCGGGGAAUUGCAGCUUGUGCUUACUGCAGACCCAGAGUAGGUGAGCCAGGAAAGCCUGGCUUGAGCAACCACUUCAGAGGGCAGGACAGGGAGGAAAAGCAAACACUGUAGAGAGGUGGCCUCCCUGGUAAGGCUAGAGCAGGACCGUCCUGCGGACUCUGAGGGAGGGAGAAGGUAAGUGGCUGCUUGGCAGAGGCUGUCUGCGGGAGCGGCAUGUGCCGGGCAGGGUGCGCCCUGCCCGCAGCUCCUGCGGCUCAGCACCAGCCGCUCCGUGGGUUUGUUCAACCUGUGCUGUGGUAUGUGCCGAGGCUCAGGGCUGUUUCCCUGCGAGGGAGCAGGGUGCUGCCGCGAAGGAGGCACCGCAACCCGCGCCUUUCGCAACAACUGCGCUCAUCGCUCAAUUCCUCGCUCCCCCCCUCGCUCCUCACCGGGUCAGCCUCUAUGUCGAGAACAAGCGACAAACCGUCCGCACAAAACAGAACACGUUCCCAUGGAGGGGGAGAGAACCAAACAAACCAACAACAAAACCAAAGCUCUUCCGCAGUGCCAGGCUGGCGUUGUAGCUCUGCGAGCCCUGUCGGGGGCUGCGGCGCUCAGAACCGGGGCCGCCCGAGCCGCUGCUCGGUCCCUGCCCGGCCCGGAGCGCCGGGCCCGCGCUGGAGCCAGCCCUGAGCGCCCGGCCCGGGUCACGGCGGCUCCCAGCGACCGUCUGCUGGCAAAAUCGGAAGGAACGGUGACGUUGUUCUUAGCUGAACACCAUUAAAAUGCUCCUCUGGUAUCUCUCAAUAGAGGUGAAAAGCAUUUCAGCUUCCUGGAAAUGGCCGAAAGAGGCGACGUGUAGAUCAAAGACUCUGAUCUUUGUCUGCGAUUAAUCAUUGUCCAGGACGGCUGUUCCCGGUGGUAGAAUCCAUGAAGCGCUCCAGCUGGGAGAGCUCCUAACGCGUGUGCCUGGCGCUGCGUACGUGCAAACCAGGGCCAGAAAUUGCUGGGGCAGCAGGCGCUGGACAGCGAGCCUGCCGUGCCGCCCCAGUGAGUUGUGUGAGUCCUCAGCACUUCUGGAAGUUGUUUUUGUAAGUCUGAGCCGAAAAUUUCUUUCCGUUUUUUAGAGUUUCUGAAUGACUAUAAUGUUCAGUGUAGUUUAAAAGUCGCCAAGGCAGUUGAGACCAGUCGUGCUCUCAGAGUGGGUGGUUUCAUGGCUUCAACCUCGUAUCUGAAAAGAGAAAUGUUCUGGUACAGCGUGUUUAAAUCCCAGAAAGGUCAAACCAGACUUUCAUACUUGAGUUAGAUUGACCCUGGUUUGCUGCGUGAGACUCUUUAGAUAAAGAGAUCUUUCAGGGGAAAGGGCGGGGGGAGAAGAUUUUUUUUCUCUGAACAGCUUGUGGUGACUCUGUGCACAUUCUUGAAGCAAAGGAGUUUGUUCUUGCCCACAGCGUCCCUGCCUGGCAUUGUUGAGUGGAAAACUCUUAUGCUAAUUAUAUCACUGUCUGUUAUCAAUAAGAAGUGAUUUAAUUUCUUUGGCAAAGUGUUGCAACAAGAGCAAAUUAGAUUGAGAGGCAAAGUGAAAUAAAAAAUAUGCAGCUGUUCUGCCAAACAAUGAUCCUGACUGUUUACAACAUUUUGUUUUAGACUGCCUUGUACACAGAAUCCUUUAUAUGGUAGGUUUUAAAGUCACAAUCCACUGCUUGUGCAAGAAAACUAGAUUAAUAGAUUAUAAAAGACAAAAGAGACCAAGGGUCAUCUGGUUCAACUUCCUGCAUUAUGCAGGGCUCUUGAUUUUUAUGAAUUUUUGGCCUUUUCUUAUUUGAAAGAAUUUAACUGCAGCAUAGCUGCAUCUUAUAUAAAGAUUAGAUUUUCUUUUCCGAAUGGGCUGUGAAAGGGAGUAAAAUAAAGGGUAAAUUGUUUCUAUCAAAAAUCCACCUGACAGACUAGAAAUCAAAGUACCUUUUUAAACUUGUCUAGUUUCUGCUUUCAGUCUUUCUGGAUGUGCCUGUCCCUCAGUCUCCUUGGCAGAGGAAUGCUCCAUGACCAGAUUUCCAUCCCCUCAUAGCUGUGUGCAAGCUGAGCAUUUAAACACUCCAUUGCAGGCUGCAGAGCUCCCCCUCGGGUCAGUCUUUACUAAUCCUGUAAUUGUUCCUGCUCCAGUUUGUCACCAUUUUGAUCUGGGCAGAAGGGGACAGAGCCAUCGGCAGUGACUGUGCCCGAGCCAAGAGCCCUCCUGGCUCAGAUGUGUCUGUCAGGCACACAGGGAUUUCUCCAGCCCAUGUUCAGCUGCUUUCCCAGCAGGGCAGCUGAAAUGCUCUCAGAUCUGCUCCUUCUUGGGAUGACAACCCGGUACUGCAGAAUUGUGCUCUUUGUUUUGCAUGUAUGGCUUUGCUCUGGUCCUCUCAGACAGCGUUGUUGCUUGCAAUGGCUUUUUUAAUUAUUAUUUUUAUUUGAUACUCCCUUCUGAUAUUGCUUAGUGUCACCUACAAACUUGGUUGGUUAUGAUUUUAUGUUUUCUUCCAGAUAAACAACCUGUGUGCACGGUGGGUGUUUCCCGGUUCUGGGUGUGUGUACGCACACCUCAGCAGUGUCAAUAUUGUGUCAGGAGGAGGUGAGGAGGUCUGGUUCCACACCAUCCCUUGCCACACCCCAGUUGCAUGGGAAGAAAGCCCAGUUUAGGAGCUGGAAGGCAGCCAGGGGCACACUGCAACACUUGCUUGCCCUGGUGUCUAUUAUGUAGCCAUGAAAUAAUGCAGAGCACAGAACAGGUGGUUGCAGGACCCAUAAAAGAAAGAGGAGAGGUCUGGGGCAGCAUGGUUACAAAGUACAUUUUGAGACCUUCCUGUUAGAUAUUUUUUUUUAGAUGCGAUGCCUCACUACAUGCUCUGUAUCCAGCUGUUCAUUCAAGACCUAAAUACAUUAGGGACUUCUUCCCCCCUGCCAAAUUUGAGAUUGGAGGAAGGAGGGGGGAAAAUUACAUAGAGCAACGCAGUUGCAUUAAGCAGUUUUAUUUUUAGGAAACCAGGCUAAGAAUAUCAAAGGAAUAUUGAGUAGGAAUAUGGACAGGGUAUUUGCCUGUUCAGAUUUUCUUGCCAUGAAAUUUUUCAUUCCUUCCUAAGAACAGCAGAUGAUCUGUCUAGGGAAUUGUCAGCCAAAAUAAGCAACCUGCUGACAGAUUUCACCUGUGUCCCAGCAUGCUCUGAGGAUGCAUGGGAUGUGAGCCUUGAACAAUGACAAGGAAUCACUAGGCUGUGUUGUUUGGCUGCCGGGGUGCAGAGAUGCAUGGUGACACCCAACAGUGGAACAAACAUUUGCUGUGUUUAAAAUUCAGACAAAUUUUUAUGGAUAUGUUGGCUAUUUGCCAUAGCUGGGGGAUGGGGGUGGUGUUACUUCUUAAAUUAUAUGUGAUCAUAUUUCUGCAAGUAUUAUGACAAAGCCACCUCUGUAAGGUAGGGAGUGAGUGCUUUCAGAGAUCUAAUCUUUCUCGAGCUAUAAAGAAUAAAGAAGCUGUUUCAACACCUGA